CAUGGACCCGGCCCACAGGUGCCGGGUGGCUCUUCCAGCCGCCGAUCCGCUGGACAACG
rnacentral:ncRNA from 1 species